UACGGGGGGAGCAAGCGUUGUUCGGAUUUACUGGGCGUAAAGGGCGCGUAGGCGGCCACCGCAAGUCAGUUGUGAAAUCUCCGGGCUUAACCCGGAAAGGUCAACUGAUACUGCGGGGCUAGAGUGCAGAAGGGGGCAACUGGAAUUCUCGGUGUAGCGGUGAAAUGCGUAGAUAUCGAGAGGAACACCUGCGGCGAAGGCGGGUUGCUGGGCUGACACUGACGCUGAGGCGCGAAAGCUAGGGGAGCGAACGGG
rnacentral:rRNA from 1 species